UCCACCCGAUGCCCCCAUCUAUCUCGCCUUCUCUUUUUUCGCCGUCGCCGCCUUCGCCGGCUGGUUCCGACGAAAUCCGGCGGUCUCAGCGAUCGUGCUGGCUACCAAUCUCCUCCUCUCCUCGCGCUCUGUAUGCUCCACUGCAUUGAUUCGUCGAUCCCACCCUCCCGUGCUUGCCCGCAUCGGUUUUACCCGUCUAUGGUUUCGGUGUACUCGACCUCCUCGUCGCUGGUGAUGCUCCGGCGUCUUGGUCCGGUCGUCUCCGUCUCCUGCUGCACUCUCUUUUGCUGUUGUGCCUCCUUAAUGGCGCGGUGCUCUCUCCUCUCUGAGCUCCGCCGUAUUCUUUGUGCGUGGCAGCUGAUGCAGCUCUGCCUCCAUGGCUCCAUCCCCACGCUUGUAGCAGUGGCCCAAGGAGGAGCUUCAUACUCGGCAUGUGGAGCUCGAGACGCGGCGGUGGUCCAUGGCAUCAAGACCAUCCGUCUUCCUCUGCAGAAGCAGCGCUAGCCACAGAGAUGCCUGGCUCCAUCCUGCUCUCAUGUCGCAGUUCUUCUGCCCGACGAAGAAGAGAGGCGAAUAGGAGAAGCACGAUGCAAAUGUUGUUUCUCUAUGCCUACAAGGUGUUCGAAGAAAUUCCAAGACUAACAGGGAGUUUUUGUAUCAGAACAUGUAUUUGUAGGUGUUAUGUCAAUAGACCUAAAAUGUAGGCUACCUAUGUUGAUUAUAGUAAGGGUUUGUUUCCUUGUAUGUUGAUUUAGAUGUUUUUUUUUUUCAAUGUCUUUGAGUAAGCCUGUCAUGCCAUUGUUUUACUUUAGAUUUUUCAAGUUUGCCAUAUACCACUUUGUGAGCUAAGAAAUACUUAUAGUUGACUCAGCCAAGAAAUACUUAUAGUUGAAUAUGGUUUGAUAAGCUCCUUGUUUGACCCUGAAUCCUCCAGAUAAACUCGAGCAAUCAUACUACAACAUUUCUUCAACUGCAAUUAAAGUCGAAAGAUGGUUUGUAAAUGUUCCAUGGUUGCUUACUUUAAAACUUUUCUCACAUAAGUAUGUAUUUGGACAGAUCAUAAUGUCCGGUGUGUAGUGAUGCUUGAGAAAACAUCUGCUUUUAGCCCUGGGACUCAUGCUUCAGCAUAUGUUCCAUCACGUGAUAAUUAUACACUUGGUACAACAACAAAUUAAGAAAUAAGUACAAGUCGACGAUCAGAGAUUCACGUAUAAACUUGUAGGACAAGUGAUGAGGAGGGGAAGCGGCUGCGAUCAAGCCACCGGUGUUGGGUCGACGGUGUCGUGCCUCUGCGACCGGGAUCAGGCAAGGUAGAUGGGAAGAAGUGGCGUCCCUCUCCCUGAGCUCCAGAUCCAUGGCAGCAGCAGCAGCGAGGAUACUUUGAUGCGAGGGACCAAAAUGAAGAGUGGAUCUGUAUAGCAGUGAAGGAAGGGGGCAUGAUUGUUUUGCCUGCAGGAAUGUAUAACGGAUUCACGUUGGAUAAUGACAACUACAUCAAAGCUGCCCUACACAUACUGGAAAUAGGAGAAUGAAAGGGGUGUGAAGCUCGCCGUCGACACGCAUCAGCUUUGUGUGCGCCGCCGGCGGUCAACCACUCGGCAUCCAACCAGUGCGAUGAAGAAGACCAUCUAGAGUACAUACGCGGAGCACCUGGUGAGCUUGAGGAACAUUGUUGUUGGGGCAAUGAGGUUAAGCUCUAUGAGCACCAUGUAGAUGCCCUGUUUGUCAUGUUCUGGCGCAAAAAAACCAAACAUCAAGUACUAUGUAUGCACCAUCAUACAAGACAUUUGCCAAGCCAGGCCAGUGAAUCGUAACUUCAAAACACAUUAUUUCUUGCAUAUUGCAUGACAUUGUACAUCCCUCUCAAUUCCUUCCUUUCUCCUGCAAGUAUUUUCAGGUCCACUACACCAAAGAGAAUCCGAUGGACUACAUUAACCUGGAUGAUGAUACACUGAAGAUCAGGCUUGCUGACGGCAAUGUGCAUGAUGAUUAUCGCAUCAUGCUGGGAACUGACAAGAGGGCCACCAUCACCUGCCACCGUGCACACAUCCGCGAAGGAGACAUCUGCGCCUUCCGCUUCAAGGUCACCGAAAAUGCCGCCUUUCUCUCACCGUGCCAUCGCCUCUAGACGCAUUAUCGACAAUGACAGAAGUCGCGUAUGAAUAUGAUCCAUCCAUGUACGGAGCUUAUGACGUACUGAACCUUGCUUAUUUUGGAUGUUGCAACAUGGUGCUUUUGAACAGAUAGCAUAUAUGUUGUCAGGCAUGUAACCACUAAGAUCGCCACUCAUCAGCUUUAACUGCACCUUUUUAUAUCUGUAAUGCGACUCUUAUCGAUGUCUGUUUAUUUC